rnacentral:rRNA from 1 species
GACGAACGCUGGCGGCGUGCCUAAUACAUGCAAGUAGAACGCUGAAGAGAGGAGCUUGCUCUUCUUGGAUGAGUUGCGAACGGGUGAGUAACGCGUAGGUAACCUGCCUUGUAGCGGGGGAUAACUAUUGGAAACGAUAGCUAAUACCGCAUAACAAUGGAUGACACAUGUCAUUUAUUUGAAAGGGGCAAUUGUUCCACUACAAGAUGGACCUGCGUUGUAUUAGCUAGUAGGUGAGGUAAUGGCUCACCUAGGCGACGAUACAUAGCCGACCUGAGAGGGUGAUCGGCCACACUGGGACUGAGACACGGCCCAGACUCCUACGGGAGGCAGCAGUAGGGAAUCUUCGGCAAUAGGGGCAACCCUGACCGAGCAACGCCGCGUGAGUGAAGAAGGUUUACGGAUCGUAAAGCUCUGUUGUAAGUCAAGAACGGGUGUGAGAGUGGAAAGUUCACACUGUGACGGUAGCUUACCAGAAAGGGACGGCUAACUACGUG